rnacentral:tRNA from 6 species
UAGACGCUACGGACUUAAAUCCGUCGACUUUAGAAAUCGUGAGGGUUCAAGUCCCUCUAUCCCCA